rfam:Ictidomys tridecemlineatus contig107555, whole genome shotgun sequence.
GGGGAUAUAGCUGAGUUGGUAGAGGGCUUGCCUCGUAUGUGCAAGGCCCUGGGUUCAAUCCCCAGUACCACCA